AAAGCGAAGUAGUCGCAGGGUUGGAAAAUCCGCCCUGCAUAAGACGAAGGCGUGAUGCGGAGCGGAAUGAAGUAGUGAAGCUGCGGCCCCUUCCUGUCGAGAAAAGCCGCUAUCGUGUAGCAAGGGCCCGUACCGUAAACCGACACAGGUGGAUGAGGAGAGGAUCCUAAGGCCGGCGGGAGAAGUGUUGUUAAGGAACUCGGCAAAAUGACUCCGUAACUUCGGGAGAAGGAGUGCUGCGCAAGCAGCCGCAGAGAAAUGGCCCAAGCAACUGUUUAGCAAAAACACAGGUCUAUGCGAAACCGAAAGGUGAGGUAUAUGGGCUGACGCCUGCCCGGUGCUGGAAGGUUAAGGGGAGAGCUUAGCGCAAGCGAAGGUUUGAACUUAAGCCCCAGUAAACGGCGGCCGUAACAAUAACGGUCCUAAGGUAGCGAAAUUCCUUGUCGGGUAAGUUCCGACCCGCACGAAAGGCGUAAUGAUUUGGGCACUGUCUCAACAACACACCCGGUGAAAUUGAAAUACCAGUGAAGAUGCUGGUUACCCGCGCCAGGACGGAAAGACCCCAUGGAGCUUUACUCCAGCCUGAUACUGGGAUUCGGUAUUGCAUGUACAGGAUAGGUGGGAGGCUAAGAACUCAUGGCGCCAGCCGUGAGGGAGCCGAUGUUGGGAUACCACCCCUGCAGUACUGGGUUUCUAACCUGCGCCCGUGACCCGGGCGGGGGACAAUGUCAGGCGGGGAGUUUGACUGGGGCGGUCGCCUCCGAAAGGGUAUCGGAGGCGCUCAAAGGUCUCCUCAGGAUGGUUGGAAACCAUCCAGAGAGUGCAAAGGCAGAAGGAGGCUUGACUGCGGCACCGACGGGUGGAGCAGGUACGAAAGUAGGACUUAGUGAUCCGGUGGCAUAAAGUGGGAUUGCCAUCGCUCAACGGAUAAAAGCUACCCUGGGAUAACAGGCUUAUCACUCCCAAGAGUUCACAUCGACGGAGUGGUUUGGCACCUCGAUGUCGGCUCAUCGCAUCCUGGAGCUGGAGCAGGUUCCAAGGGUUGGGCUGUUCGCCCAUUAAAGCGGUACGCGAGCUGGGUUCAGAACGUCGUGAGACAGUUCGGUCCCUAUCCGGCGCGGGCGCAGGAUAUCUGAGAGGAGCUGUCCUUAGUACGAGAGGACCGGGAUGGACCGUCCGCUGGUGGACCGGUUGUCAUGCCAAUGGCACGGCCGGGUAGCCAAGACGGGAAGGGAUAAACGCUGAAGGCAUCUAAGCGUGAAGCCCCCCUCAAGAUGAGAUAUCCAUACUCGAAAGAGUGAGAGACCCCUUAGAGACGAUGAGGUAGAUAGGGCAGAGAUGGAAGUGCAGCGAUGCAUGGAGUUGACUGUUACUAAUCGGUCGAAAGC
rnacentral:rRNA from 1 species